rnacentral:rRNA from 1 species
ACUGAAUAGAUACCCGGGUAGUCCACGCCCUAAACGAUGUCUACUAGUUGUCGGGGAUUCAUUUCCUUGGUAAACGCAGCUAAACGCGUGAAGUAGACCGCCUGGGAAGUACGGCCGCAAGGUUAAAACUCAAAGGAAUUGACGGGGACCCGCACAAGCGGUGGAUGAUGUGGAUUAAUUCGAUGCAACGCGAAAAACCUUACCUACGCUUGACAUGCCAGGAACUUUCCAGAGAUGGAUUGGUGCCCGAAAGGGAACCUGGACACAGGUGCUGCAUGGCUGUCGUCAGCUCGUGUCGUGAGAUGUUGGGUUAAGUCCCGCAACGAGCGCAACCCUUAUCCUUAGUUGCUACGCAAGGGCACUCUAGGGAGACUGCCGGUGACAAACCGGAGGAAGUGGGGAUGACGUCAAGUCCUCAUGGCCCUUAUGUGUAGGGCUUCACACGUCAUACAAUGGUCGGUACAGAGGGUCGCCAACCCGCGAGGGGGAGCCAAUCCCAGAAAACCGAUCGUAGUCCGGAUUGCAGUCUGCAACUCGACUGC